UAUGCCUUAACAAUCAGCAUCUAGUUCAUGGCCAAAAUAGAUGAUGGAGCUAAUGAAAACAUCUACAUUCAUUUGGUGAUGAUUGUCAGCUGUCACAGGCAGGCCAAUCACAAACUAUGAAUGCUAUGAAGUGGAUUACCAAAGCAUUUUUCUUAACAGUGAGGAGCAAAGACAUUGUCUAUGGAUGAAAACAAUGAGUACUUCGUUGUAGUUGCUGGAUGGAUAUUCCUUUUUAUCUUCAUAAGUCCUGGAGGAACAGCAGUGGAUUCCCAGCUUUACUUCAUCUCCUAGUCUGGUCUAUUAUGUCUAUCUUGUGUAUUAGAAGCAGCUCUUUUUCAUUGCUACCAUCCUUUUCAGUUGAAAUUCUACAUCAUUAGGAGUGGUUAGCCAUUGAGUAGUAUCUACUUGCUGCAAAGCACUUGAGUAUACUCUGCUCAAAUGGAAGACAUAGAAAAAUCCUGCUGUCAGACUGGAGCAAAAGCUACAAAAAUGUAAGUGGUAAUUCAAAUUUGGAAAUGAUUUCACUGAAGAUGGAUUUCUGCUGUUGUUGCUCACUGCAGUAGUGUUUGAAAGUCUCACAAGUUGGAAAUCUGUUGUGCAGUUGAAGCUGUACUGACGCUGGACAGAAAUGUAGCCGCUGCAUUGAAGUGUGUGUUUAAGCAACCAGGUUGGAGGUUUCAUUUGUUUGCUUGCUUCAGAGCUUUCCUUGUUUUUUUUUCUUCUUUCUUGAGCGGUGAUUUGAACUUAAGUUGAAAGCACAUAUUGUAUUAAUCAUCUAGAAUACACUUAGAUGUUGUUAUUUGAGCCCUCAUCCACUGAAGCUAUGGAAACUCUUCCUUUCUCUGCUCUGUUAUGAAGCAAGUUCUCUGUUUUUUGAUCAUCUUCCUUCCUGUUCUUAAGCAUGUUCAAAAACCGUGGUAAAUCCAAGUGAGGGCUAGCACCAUCGACCAAUGACUAGAGGAAGUCAUAUUUAAGAGAUGUAGCCUUACCUCCAAAACAGAAUGGCAGAAUGUGCCUUCUCAAAAGAACAUUAAAAAAAAAAAAUUGUGGCUGUUUCACUGCAAGUUCUUAGUUUGUGCGUGUAGUUGCUCUGUUACAUUUGAAGUAAAAAUAGAAAACCAGGGUUAUUAGUGGUAUUCCAGAAGUGACUGAGCCUGUUGUACUUGUACUGUUCAGCUUCACUAAAAUACUUUAUUCCCAGGAUUCAACUGUUAGACAUGGUCUGAAGGUCAUUUAAGUUCUGGGUCUGAUAGAAGUUUUUUAAUCUGCCUUGGAGCAGAGCUGGGUUUUAAAUGAUCUAAGGCCUUCCUUUCUGCAGUAUGGGGCAUUAGUUCCUUGCCCAAAUACUUGGUGUGGAUUAUAUUUAAACUCUGUAGCCAGCUAAUAAACUCUAAAAAGUUUCAUUAGUUUUUCAUAGCCACAUUACUUUCGUCAAGGCCUGUGGGAAAGAGGAAUGUCUGAGUCUACAUACAUGUAUGGUGUGGGAAUGUAUACAGAUACUGGUAAAACUUGUGAUUUGGACUGCUAUUGCUAUUAAUUUUUUAUCAAUGUAUCGAUACUAAUAUGAACAACUCCACAGGAUUUUUCCAUAACGCAUAGAUGAGAGAAAAGCUUGUAUGCAGACAUAUUUUAUGCAGCAAAAAAGUUAAAAUUAAACUAUUUAGAACUUCAGAAAUUCUUUUUUUCUAUUUCUUCAGAAUCUGAAUAGCAAGAGUCAAAGGCGUUAAAGCUGUAUGCUUUUAUUUAUCUCAUUACAAAUCUAAAUACUGUUAAAAUAACUGAGUGAAUUAUUGUAUUUAAGUAUGUACUCAGCACUAAUUAUUCCGUGUUGUAGUUCAGUGAAUUCAGGAAAUUAUUUUCAUUGAACAUAUCUCUAGUGGUAAAAGGUUUACAUUUCAUCAGAUGAUGCUGUAUGUCCUUUAUAAUGUGAAAAUUA